rnacentral:rRNA from 1 species
UACGAAGGGGGCUAGCGUUGCUCGGAAUCACUGGGCAUAAAGCGCACGUAGGCGGAUUGCUAAGUCAGGGGUGAAAUCCUGGAGCUCAACUCCAGAACUGCCUUUGAUACUGGCGAUCUCGAGUCCGGGAGAGGUGAGUGGAACUGCGAGUGUAGAGGUGAAAUUCGUAGAUAUUCGCAAGAACACCAGUGGCGAAGGCGGCUCACUGGCCCGGUACUGACGCUGAGGUGCGAAAGCGUGGGGAG